UCACGUAGCCUUCAUGUUAAAGGUGACAGCUCCUUGUGAGGAGAAGUCAUCUGGAACCUCUCGAGCCAUGAGGAGCCGCAGCCGCUUUGUUUAUUGAAUGUAAAUUCCCAACAGUAAUUGGAAGGAAAGUGGAACAUCCUGUCCGGUGACAGCCAGGAAGUCAGCUGACCUAAGACUGACCACUUACUCUGACACAUUAAGCCAUGCAAUUUACAGUGGGUCAGACCGGUAAUCACAUGACCCAGUUACACGAAUGAAGCGCAUGGAUGCAGCUGUGCUGGAAUAAAACAAACGGCGUUGUAGGACUGGUCAUGGAGCACGAUAUGAGGAAGAUGCAUUCAGAUAGAAACGGGGAAAAAACGACAGGAACGAGAUGUGUACGGCGGCCAUUGUGCAGAUAACUCUGUAGUCACCAUAGUGAGCUAAAUGCAGUUCACUCGAAUUUGGGUCAUGUAGCCGCAGUUCAUUCGUAUGAGGCUUAUUUGGCAACAUUUUUUUUGUAAACUUUCGAAAACAAAAUCCUGUCAAGGAAAAGUAGAUUGGCAGUCCGAAACUUAGUAGGGUCACGCAUCGCAAAUACUGUAAGCGGGAAACACACUGGGUAUUCUCCUAUGAGCAGACACACAGGGCAUUCUCCUAUGAGCAGACACACAGGG